rnacentral:rRNA from 1 species
AGAAUAACGGAAACCCGGGUAAGAUCUCAUAUUGCUAUAAAGAAAAACAGGGGAAUUAGGGAACAUUAAUAUAUUACAAAAUCUAAAAUUACAUCUCGUUAGCUUAAUUGAUAUUUGAUUUUCCCCUCUUCCUUUCGUAAGGUAGGACGGGGGAGAGGGCAGUUCUCCCGUAUUAGGAGCUAAGUUCUCACUCCAUUCGUAGGAAGGGGUUAGAUUGCUAUUUAAUGCAAUAGAGGACAAUCCGGCCCCAUCUCGAGAGCACGAAGGUGUAGUCAUUUUGAAUUUCUUUAGGUUUUGAGGGGGGGUAGCACCUUUCCCCUGCGUAAUGUGGGCAGCUCCGGCACGAUAAAGGCCGGGUUACUUCUUUCCAAGCAGCGGGGUUAUUCCGUGGGGUCCAAGGCUUUACUCGAAUUUAUUGGUUAUAAAACGAGCGUAGGCCGUUUGUAAAGUAUGAUGUGAAACCCCGGCGCUCCCCCCCCGAAUUGCAGUUAAAAACUGCCCCACUUGAUUUCUUUAGACGCGAGGGGGAAUUCUUUGUGUAGCGGUGAAAUGCUUAGAUAUGAGGAGGAACCCCGAUGGCGAAGGCAGCUCCCGGGACUAAUACUGACAUUGAAGUGAGAAAGCGCGGGGAGCAAACAGG